ensembl:snRNA
GUGUUUUAUGAAAGGAGAGAUUAACACACACACACACACACAACCCCGACAGGGAUGGAAGAGGCCCUCAGCCUGACAAUGCACAUAUGAUUAAGGCGUUGCCACCUGCUUCAUGGCAUCUAACCAAUGUUUUUA